AGGAGACUCCUGCUCUUUGGUUAACUGAUCCACCUUUUCCGUAAUAGCUGUCACGGAUGCCUGCUUGCACUGUAGUUUCUUCACAAAAUCCUAAAGCUAUGCUAAUGUUUAAGGAUCGAUGGACACACACCACCUUGGUCUUCUCUGUCUGCCCUGGAGACCCACUAGCUCCUACCUUUACUUGGGAAGCCAUGUUCUGUGCAAUGUUGAGCUCCAGUUCCGCAUGCCUCCGCUUCAUAUUCUGCAGUUGCUGAUCAGCGUCCUGGAGAGUUGGACAAGUCGCACAUGGAGCAGAGGAGAUCUAAGUAGGUCCUCGCCUGCUUCUGCAAAGCCCUGAAGUGUUUGACCUUAAAAAAACACACUCG